CUGUGGAAGCACAUUUCUUGUGUGACCGCGUACUUUUUGUAGAACGGGCCAACGAGUUACGUUAAGUAGCAAGGUUAAGCACUUAAGGUGCGGAGCCGUAGCGAAAGCGAGGUUUAACUGAGCGUUCAGUUACGUGACGUAGACCCGAAACCGGGCGACCUACCCAUGAGCAGGAUGAAGCGAAAGUAAAAUUUCGUGGAGGGCCG
rnacentral:rRNA from 1 species